rnacentral:rRNA from 1 species
GAAGGAGGAGCUUGCUUCUCCGGAUGAGUUGCGAACGGGUGAGUAACGCGUAGGUAACCUGCCUGGUAGCGGGGGAUAACUAUUGGAAACGAUAGCUAAUACCGCAUAAGAGUAGAUGUUGCAUGACAUUUGCUUAAAAGGUGCAAUUGCAUCACUACCAGAUGGACCUGCGUUGUAUUAGCUAGUUGGUGGGGUAACGGCUCACCAAGGCGACGAUACAUAGCCGACCUGAGAGGGUGAUCGGCCACACUGGGACUGAGACACGGCCCAGACUCCUACGGGAGGCAGCAGUAGGGAAUCUUCGGCAAUGGACGGAAGUCUGACCGAGCAACGCCGCGUGAGUGAAGAAGGUUUUCGGAUCGUAAAGCUCUGUUGUAAGAGAAGAACGAGUGUGAGAGUGGAAAGUUCACACUGUGACGGUAUCUUACCAGAAAGGGACGGCUAACUACGUGCCAGCAGCCGCGGUAAUACGUAGGUCCCGAGCGUUGUCCGGAUUUAUUGGGCGUAAAGCGAGCGCAGGCGGUUAGAUAAGUCUGAAGUUAAAGGCUGUGGCUUAACCAUAGUACGCUUUGGAAACUGUUUAACUUGAGUGCAAGAGGGGAGAGUGGAAUUCCAUGUGUAGCGGUGAAAUGCGUAGAUAUAUGGAGGAACACCGGUGGCGAAAG